rnacentral:misc_RNA from 1 species
GGAAAAUUAAUUCUCAACUUCAAUUCAGUAAUUCAAGGAGCACAAUAUUUACAAGUUAACCAACAAAACCAACCUCCUCAAACCAUCUAUUUGAAGUCCACCAGCUUUAAUUUGCUGCUUCAUCCAAACCCAAAAGGAGAAAAGAAAUAAUGUUUCAGCUUCUUUCAUGCUUAACCCUUGUUCUUCUUACCUUCCUACUCUCUGGAUCGACCAUGGCUGCUGGAGAGUACAAUUACUGCUCAAGGUUGUUCAGGGACUUCCUUCCAUGUUUACGUUAUGUGGGAGGAUUAUCUCAGGACCCAACAAGGAAUUGCAGCCAAGGCAACAGAAAACUCAAUGGAAGAGCAAAACUUAAUAGAGAAGGUCGAAAGAAGAUUUGCCAAUGCAUUGAAGAUAUGACCUAUGUCAUGAACUUAGCGUUUGUUGCCUCUCAAAUUGUUUCUCUUCAAGACAAGUGCAAUUUGCACUUGAGUUUCCCAAUUUC